rnacentral:lncRNA from 1 species
UCCCUUGAAUGCUGUAAGACCCAGAAAGUGGUAGAGACACAGAAGAAAAAACUAGGCUUUUAAUAAAAUGGGAGAGACAGAUACAAACCAGCAUGUAUGUGAUGCAGUUUCAGUUUCUGAACAAAAACAAUAAAUACAUAAAAGGUCAGCAUGGCCAGUGAAACUGAAAGCUAAGAACUCAGAUGAGGCAAUCACAGAGGGUGAUGAAAGAGAAGAACAUCUGAGAGAGGAGGAGAACAAGAAUGGCCUGGCAAGAAAAGGAAGAAGACUAAUACGAAACACACUCAGCCAAAGACCAUGGGGUAGAAAUAACCCAUCUGAAGAAGGGCUCUUCAUUGCACAAAACUACAUCCAAUCCUUAAGAGGUACUGCCCCGUGGUAUGACAAGGCCAAAACGUCAUCCUGGCAAUUGCUGCUAAUUAAACUCAGGAUUGAUUCAAUGCUACUGAAUAGGCCAGGGAGAUUCCCAUGGUGCUGCCACUAAUCAGGGCCUUUACAGAAAACUCCCAAGAAGAUCGAAGGACAGAGACAAGCUUGAACUCUGCAGCCCGUAGGCAGGUCUGCCUUCUAGAGAGAAAGCCAGUGAUGCUGCUUUGCCAAUGGUCAUGCUGAAAUAGUGGUUUGGGGUGACCUCCAGGAGAGUAGGGGUACUAGGGGUAGGUAAGGAGGGUGACUGAAAUUUAAAACAAGGUGUCAGCAAAGGCAUUAGUGAGAAGAUGGCAUCUGGGUAAAGACCACAAAACAGCCAUCCUCAGAAAAUAAUACAUCACGGAGCAGUCACAUAGAGAGAGGGACGUGCCCGAGGAGCCCAGGAGUCUCAGACUAGACCCAGGACAUGACAGUCAGCUCGCGAGCCUUCAGAUGAUUUCCCCAUACUUCGAGCCUCCCCUGCUGAUGCCAAGCGGAAUGGAGACAGGCUACGCUGCUGACCAGACUCCAAAUUCCUGACUCACAGAAACUGUGAGAGAUAAAUGAUUACUGUUGUUUGAAAUCGUUAAGUUUUGGAGUAGUUUGUCACUCAGCUUUAGACAACCAGGACAUGCCAUUAACUGGCUCACUUGUCCACGUCUAAUAUAAAAACCACAUCAUGUUUUUUUUGUUGUUGUUGUUUAAAAAGAGAUUUGAAUGGUUCCACAUCAUGCACAGGAUAAAAAGAAUCUGGAGGCUCCUUGACAGACUGUGAGACUUGAGGUGGGGAUUAUAUCUCGUCCACCAGUGAAUUCCCAGUACUUCAGCAGUUCCUCAUCUAGUAAGUGAUUUCACUGGCUGGGAUGAAACCAGAUGACAGGGAAAGAGUAAACAAAGAAGAUGAAUUAUGAUAACCAGGUAUUCAACAAGUAUAGACAAGGCUCCUUCCAUGCAGUGCUGGGGAUACUAUUGUCAAGCUGCCCUCAUAGAGUCUGUGAGGGGGACCAACAAGAAAUACACAAAUAGCAUUUGUCACCCUCUGAAAUACGGAAAAACACAUCAGUGUAAUGGAAAGGAGCUGGGCAAGUGUGGGUCAGAGGUGGGGGAUGGGGUGGGAUAUUUUGUCAAGGUAGUAAGGAAACUUUCUCUGAAGAUACAACAUUUCUGCUGAAACCUGCAUGACUGUGAAGCCAUGGAAAGAUCUGGGAGAAUAAAGGAACAAGAAGGCUUAGCAAGUGCAAAAGCCCUGGGGUGAGAAGGGACAUAAAGCUCUGCUUUGUGCUUCAAUGAUACUGUGGGGCUUGGGUGUUUCAAUGUGCAUGCACAGGUUUCUUGCUUAGAAAGUCUAAUAUAUAAACAUUUGAA